rnacentral:rRNA from 1 species
GACGUAUGAGGCGAGCGUUGUUCGAAAUUAUUGGGCGUAAAGGGCGUGUAGGCGGGGGAUUAAGUUAGGUGUGAAAGCCAUGGGCUCAACCCGUGAAUUGCACCUAAAACUGGUUCUCUUGAGUUAGGGUAAGGAAAGCGGAAUUCCCGGUGUAGCGGUGAAAUGCGUAGAUAUCGGGAAGAACACCAGUGGCGAAGGCGGCUUUCUGACCUAUAACUGACGCUAAGGCGCGAAAGCGUGGGGAG